UACGUAGGGGGCAAGCGUUGUCCGGAUUUAUUGGGCGUAAAGAGCGUGUAGGCGGCCAAGCAGGUCAGCUGUGAAAACUCGAGGCUCAACCCCUGGAUGCGGGUGGAUACUGCUGGGCUAGAGUCCGGAAGAGGUGAGUGGAAUUCCUGGUGUAGCGGUGAAAUGCGCAGAUAUCAGGAGGAACACCGAUGGCGAAGGCAGCUCACUGGGACGGUACUGACGCUGAGGCGCGAAAGCGUGGGGAGCAAACAGG
rnacentral:rRNA from 1 species